rnacentral:rRNA from 1 species
UACGGGGGGGGUAAGCGUUGUUCGGAAUUACUGGGCGUAAAGGGCGCGUAGGCGGUCUGUUAAGUUCGGUGUGAAAGCCCCCGGCUCACCUGGGGAACUGCGCCGGAAACCGACAGACUCGAGUACCGGAGAGGAGGGUGGAAUUCCUGGUGUAGCGGUGAAAUGCGUAGAUAUCAGGAGGAACACCGGUGGCGAAGGCGGCCCUCUGGACGGAUACUGACGCUGAGGCGCGAAAGCCAGGGGAGCAAACGGG